GACGAACGCUGGCGGCGUGCCUAAUACAUGCAAGUCGAGCGAGCUUGCCUAGAUGAAUUUGGUGCUUGCACCAAAUGAAACUAGAUACAAGCGAGCGGCGGACGGGUGAGUAACACGUGGGUAACCUGCCCAAGAGACUGGGAUAACACCUGGAAACAGAUGCUAAUACCGGAUAACAACACUAGGCGCAUGUCUAGAGUUUAAAAGAUGGUUCUGCUAUCACUCUUGGAUGGACCUGCGGUGCAUUAGCUAGUUGGUAAGGUAACGGCUUACCAAGGCAAUGAUGCAUAGCCGAGUUGAGAGACUGAUCGGCCACAUUGGGACUGAGACACGGCCCAAACUCCUACGGGAGGCAGCAGUAGGGAAUCUUCCACAAUGGACGCAAGUCUGAUGGAGCAACGCCGCGUGAGUGAAGAAGGGUUUCGGCUCGUAAAGCUCUGUUGGUAGUGAAGAAAGAUAGAGGUAGUAACUGGCCUUUAUUUGACGGUAAUUACUUAGAAAGUCACGGCUAACUACGUGCCAGCAGCCGCGGUAAUACGUAGGUGGCAAGCGUUGUCCGGAUUUAUUGGGCGUAAAGCGAGUGCAGGCGGUUCAAUAAGUCUGAUGUGAAAGCCUUCGGCUCAACCGGAGAAUUGCAUCAGAAACUGUUGAACUUGAGUGCAGAAGAGGAGAGUGGAACUCCAUGUGUAGCGGUGGAAUGCGUAGAUAUAUGGAAGAACACCAGUGGCGAAGGCGGCUCUCUGGUCUGCAACUGACGCUGAGGCUCGAAAGCAUGGGUAGCGAACAGG
rnacentral:rRNA from 1 species